rnacentral:tRNA from 1 species
GGGGUGUAGCUCAGUUGGGAGAGCACUUGCUUUGCACGCAAGGGGUCGCAGGUUCAACUCCUGUCAUCUCC